ensembl:lncRNA
CACAGGAACACUUCUUGGACCUUAAACGUAAACCAUUUUGGGUGCCAACUCAAUGUGAUAUAGGCCCUAUGUUCUUGCCAUAAAAAGAUGAGUCAGUCUGUUUGCACAGAUCGUCUCUGCCAUAACUUCACACCACUGUUUGAACUGUAGACAGCAGGAGAAACAACCUCAGAACUGACUUUGUGAGUCGGCCCUUUGUGUUCCUCAAACUGCAGACAGGCAGGAGAGGCCCUCCGCCACCCACGUCCCCACAGCUCCACUGACAGUGCCAAUUUAUUGCGUACAUUUUGUUCACUCUGGCCUGUGACAGGCUAGAUUUAUCACUUUACUCUGGCACGGUUAAGCCUCAUCGAAAGACCUGGAAGGUCACACCAAAGUCACUGGCCUUGCCUGCACUGAAAAGAAACAUUCCUGAACCGUAAGGAGGAACCUUCAACCUGCCCCGCCAUCCAUCUGCCCUGUAGGCAGGCGGCACUCAUAUAAACCCUCUCAACCGCGUCCAACAGGAACCUUUCAAUGACCCUUGUGACUGGAAAAAGCUAGUAAUUAAAAGGCUCUUUUUCUAGAGUGAGGGAGUGGCGCAGGUCCAGCCGUGCAGGUAGUAAAUCUUGCGUUAUCAGCUCUCAGGUGAGUGCUGGAGAGGUCGGGAGGAGGGAUGCGUGGGUGCGCUGGCUCCAGACAGACCCGCAGCACAGAUGAGUGGAGUAAGUGACGGGCAAUUACUCGCUGUGUUACUGCUCCCUAAAUAGGGCUGAUGACAGCUUUGGACACUCUUCUCAAGUAGUGUGAAACUAGAUGAUCAUUUGCGUUCAAGACCACCCUCUGCGCCCUUCCAAUAACAAUGCAUUGAGAGAUUGACAUGCUGAUAGCAAGUGGAACAUGCCAAUAUAUCAACACAGAUUAGUAAACCUUAGUGUCAUAAAGUAUACAACAGCCUAAAAAGCAUAUGAACAUUGAUGACUCACUUAAUUAGAUGCAAUUUAUCAAAUCCACAUCUAGUUCAACAAAAAGAUACAUUUCUGAAAAAGAAGUGUGCUUUAAUAAACUGUUGUCAUGCUUAAAGGAUGAGGACGAUGUAGUUUGCUGUGUGGACUAACAUAUGAAAGCUCACGGUGUCCAGGUUGCCAGUAGUGAAAGGCCUUGAAUGGUUUUGGUCUGAUGGGAUGUCCUUUCUGGUCUCUGAACUGGAGUCAAGCUACAUCCACGGGCCAUUAUUAUAUCUUCAUUGGUCACCUUAAAAAUAUAAAAAA